GGGGAUUUAGCUCAGUGGUAGAGUGCUUGCCUAGCAAGCACAAGGCCCUGGGUUCAGUCCCCA
rfam:Rattus norvegicus chromosome 4, whole genome shotgun sequence.